AUGUGGAUAGGCCCUAGAAUAGCUUUCAGAAUUCUUUUUUCUUUUUUUUGUCUGCCCCUCAGCAUAAGGAGUUCCCCAGCCGGGGAUCAGUCCCAACCGCAGCUGCAACCAAAGCCACACCUGCAGCAACGCUGGGUCCCUAACCCACUGUUGGGGGCUGGGGAGGGAACCUGUGUCCCAUUGCUCCCAAGAUGCGUUGGAUCCCCUUGCCCCACGGGAAGUUUGGAGCGGGAACUCCGAAACUUCUUGAACGAGAAGAAUACAGUGGGAAGAUCAUCACCUGAUGUCAAGACCUACGGCGGGCCCCUUGUGGCUCCGCGGGUUACGAACCCGACUCGUGUCCAUGAGGAUGCGGGUUCCAACCCUGGCCUAUCCCGCGUGGCCGCGAGCCGCGGUGUCCGUCCCAGUUGGGCCGGGGCGGGGCCGUGGAGCGACCCGGGAGGAAGAACGGGAAAGGGGCGGGGCCUGAGGGCGGGGCGGCCGCGAAGACAAAGAGGGGAGCGCCCCGCGCCCCGCAGCGCGCAGGCUGGGUCCGCCCAGUUCGGGGCUCCCCGCGUCAGGCUUUGGGGGCGCGCCCCGCCUGGCGGGCUCCGGGCUCCGCUCCAGCGAUGCGCACCGCUCCGGCGCCUCUGGACCGCGGAGCCCGGCCGCGGCAGCCUCUCCCCAGGGCCUGCUGACCUUUGGGGACGUGGCUACGCACUUCUCCCAGGAAGAAGGGGCACGUCUGGACCUGGGAGAGGGCGUUUAGAGAGGUGAUGCUGGAGACUCGCAGGAACCCGGCCUCCUCAGGAGUCCCAGGAUCCAAACCAGAUCCAGCCUCCCUGCUGGAGCAAGGAAAGCAGCCCUGGGGCUUGGACCUGUGGGGGGCCCAGGAAGGAGAGACCCCGGGAGGCCCUGGCACAGGUGACUGAGGGGAGCCAUGGCUCAGGCUGUUCAGUAUGUACGGUCAGUAUAUGCAGCUGGAGUUGUGAGCAGCUGAACAGGACAGCCACAGAGUCCUAGUGCACUCUCGUUGGUUCAUCCUGUGUGGUCACCCAGGUAAUGGGCACCUACCCUGUGCAAACAGGCAGCCAGGUAGCAGUUAAGGAGUAAAGGCUGCGGUUGUUGCCUCCCCGUCAUUACAGGUUGCGGGAGGCUUUCUGGGAGCCAGCACUGUGCCAGGCGCUUUACAAAUUGUGCCUCACUUUCCCCCCAGCAACCCAAUGGGAUGAGCUAUCAAACCCUCAACUGCAAGGAACCCAACCACCCUUGCCAAAGUUGGGGGGCUCUUGGCUCAAGCUGUGAAAGUUAGGGGUGGGGUUCUCAGUGCUAUGGGCCUCAGGCACAGGGGUGAAAGCCAGAAUAUUUCACAUUGCUGGGCCCAACAUCCAGCUUCCUAGGUAGGUCAUGGCCCGCUGGUGACCAAAGCACAAUGGGGACCCAUCUGCCCCCCAAAGGGAACCUUCUCUACUUCUCACCACACUUCUGACAGCAAAUGUGUGUGUCUUGGGGGGGGGUUGUGUUCCCACACCAACCAGCUCGCCAGAGCAGGAGCAGCACGAGGGACGGGAUUGUUUCUCCACCCGCAGUCGGCGUGGGCAUGUCCGGCCAUCUCCACGACGAGCGGGUCGCCCUGGUCUGCCUGCUCGGGCCAGCAUCACCCGGUGGCCUGCGGAUUGGGCGUGGCAGUGGCACUUCCCUGGACAGACGGAUGCUCUGAAAGCCCGUUUUCAAGGGCAUCCAGAUUUUAAAACUUCAAACGUAGGUCGUGGGCUUUGUUUUCAGCACAGGUGUGUUCUAAAUGCCUUCGAGGUCCGAAGGGGCUACGGGGCUUUCGGGUCGACUUUGAUCACGCAGCAGCCCUGAGCACCUGGUCGCAACUCUAGACUUCAUUUGGUUCUGGCGCUGUUUUCAGAUGCUGAUUUGCUGCAGCGGGAUGGGAUGUUUCCAUCUUAGGCCGCUCGGCCCUGGUGCUCCUGUAGCACCGAAGGCUUUACUCGCUCAGCUUCACGUUCCUGUAAGCUGCCUUUUGGGUUACGUCGGGCAAGGUGAAACAUUAAGAAUGUGCCUUUCAUUUGAACUGUUCUUUUUUCAGCCACUGUUCUUAACUUUACAGAGUAAGGUUGCGUAGUAGGGAUGUCUUCUGUAAAUAAUCACAGGAAAACAACUCACACCCAUGGUGGUGAAGGUGAGGGACACGAAGUGCGUCAGGCCAGUGGUCCUCAAACACACAGGAGGAGAUGAAAGUUUGUUGGCAAAGGCUGCCUGAGCUUCGGGGGAAGGGCACUGUGCCCGGGAUCUCCCACUGACCCCUUGGCAUUCCUGGAUGCCCCCCACCCUGAGGCUGAGGGUCCCCGUGCACAGUGAGACUCUAAAUGUGCUCCGACAUUCCAUAAGCUAAUUACGAAGCAACCCGUGACCAUUGAGGAAAUAUAAAAAAUGCAAAUAUAAAAGUAAAACAUAACAGGGAGUGUUAUCUUGGAGUCCUCUUAUUUUGGCUCUUUAGGAACCCUUAGGCCGCCAGGGAAAAUGGCCAUGGAAAGGGGGUGUGGGAUUUGGGUACCCCCGUGGCCACAGUGUUUUCAUCCAGGCUAUCUAGACUCAAAGCUUUAAGAAGAGAAAACGUCCCCAAACAAAAGAAACAUGUGAUCUCAAUCCUGAAAGACCUUCUUGCAAACUAAGAAAAACAAGAGAGCUCUCGAGGGCUAACCUCAGAGGCACUGUGCGAACAUCGAGAACAGACACGUACGCCACUGAGAGAGAAGUCAGUGAGACUCAGAUUCAACGACAAAAACCGUAACGCUUUCUGCAUGUGCUUCCUUAACACGUCAUCGUCAUCUUUUUUUGGGGGGGAGUCUUUUUAGGGCUGUACCCCUGGCAUGUGGUUCCCAGGCUAGGGGACACAGCCACAGCAAUGCCAGAUCACAGCCACAUCUACAACCUACACCACAGCUCACGGCAACGCCAGAUCCUUAACCCACUGAGGGAGGCCAGGCAUCAAACCCACAACCUCAUGGUUCCUAGUCGGAUUCGUUUCUGCUGCGCCACGACGGGAACUCCAGUUCGGGUUUUUUCAUCAAUGCUCUUUGUUAAGUUGAGGAAGUUCCCUUCUAUUCCUAGUUUGAGUGUUCUUAUCAUGAAAGGGUGUUAGAGUUUGUCAAAUGCUUUAUCUGUAUCAACUAAAAUGAUAGUGUGUUGGAGUUACCUUCGUGGUGCAGUGGUUAACCAAUCUGACUAGGAACCAUGACGUUUCGGGUUCGAUCCCUGGCCUUGCUCAGUGGGUUGAGGAUCCAGCGUUGCCGUGAGCUGUGGUGUAGCUCGCAGACACGGCUCGGAUCCCGCGUUGCUGUGGCUCUGGUGUAGGCCGGUGGCUACAGCUCCGAUUCGACCCCUUGCUGGGAACCUCCAUAUGCCGCAGGAGCAGCCCAAGAAAUGGCAAAAAGACAAAAAUAAAUAAAUAAAUAAAUAAAAUAGAAUGAUAGUG
rnacentral:lncRNA from 1 species